AAAUGUGAGAAUAACUACCUAACAUUUAAUCAGUUUAUAAAAUGCAAAUAUUUCAAUGAGGAUAGCAUUGUCAUACAAAUAAUGUUAAUAUUUAAUGAAUAGCACCAAAACAAGUCUAACAGUACUAAAGUUACAUAUCUAUAAGGAAAAUAGAUAAAAUACACAUAUAGAUUUAACAUUAGGCAAAAUAACAUAUGUUCAGAAUAUGAAACAACAAAAUACAAAACUUCCAUGAAAAACAAGAAUACAAAAUACAUGACUACCAUGAAAAACAAAUCAUUAACCUUCUAAAAAUCUAUAAAUAAUCAAAUAGGAAAAUAAACUCGGGUCCCAUUAAAAAUAAAAGUAGAACAUUGGUAAAAUUUGGUGGUGAACUAAAACAUGUAAAAAUGAAUGAAACAUACUAUAUAAAGGAAGACAAAAUAUGUGUGAUGAUAAAAAGUGGCAAGGUUAUAAAAUAUAUAUUAUAAGUUUGGCACAAUGAUAUGGUCCAGGAAACUAAAUACUUUUUGCAUGACAAAUUUAAUUCAGUUAUAAAUUCAUGCUUUUAGUUAAAAUAAAAUAACAUUCCCUACAGCUGAAUUACGGCAUGAUACUUUCAAUGAAACAGUAAAUAUAUUCUUACAACAUGUGACCUCUUUCCAUGGACAAGAUUUUAAACUUAGAAAAUAAAAUAUAAUUUUAUACUAUGAAAAUG
rnacentral:lncRNA from 1 species